CAAAUGGUUUUAUUUAAAACCAUGGGAUAUAAAGAAGGGAAAAGUUU
rfam:Amborella trichopoda AMTR_V1.0_contig_11463, whole genome shotgun sequence.